rnacentral:rRNA from 1 species
GGGAUUGAGGUGUAAGCGUGCAAGUGGUGGAGUUGGCAAAUCCGCUCCACAUACACUGAGGCGUGAAUGCGAGGAGAUUUAUCUCCGGAAGUGAUCUGAGCCAUGGUUCCAAGAAAAGCUUCGACGUGUUUUCAAAGGCGCUCGUACCGUAAACCGACUCAGGUGAGUGGGAUGAACAUUCUCAGGCGAUUGGGUUAAUUUUGGUUAAGGAACUCGGCAACUUAACACCGUAACUUCGGAAAAAGGUGUGCCAUCAGAAGCGAAACCCCUCGCGGGCGUAGUGGAAGGUGGUCGCAGAGAAAUGGGAGUAGCGACUGUUUAUCAAAAACACAGGCAUGUGCUAAGUCACAAGACGAUGUAUACGUGCUGACGCCUGCCCGGUGCUGGAAGGUUAAGAGGAUUUGUCAGUCGCAAGACGAAGCGAAGAAUCGGAGCCCCAGUAAACGGCGGCCGUAACAAUAACGGUCCUAAGGUAGCGAAAUUCCUUGUCGGGUAAGUUCCGACCUGCACGAAUGGCGUAACGACUUCUCCGGUGUCUCAACCAAAUGCCCAGCGAAAUUGAAUUCUCGGUGCAAAUGCCGGGUACCCGCAGAAAGACGGAAAGACCCCGUGAACCUUUACUCUAGCUUGGCAGUGAUCUUAGAGCUUGUAUGUGUAGUUUAGGUGGAAGCCUUUGAAAUCGGGACGCUAGUUCCGGUGGAGGCGAAGUGUGAAAUACCACCCUUAUUGGCUUUGAGAUCUACCUGCGCUCUAUAUCAGGGCGAGGGACACUGUCUGGUGGGGAGUUUGACUGGGGCGGUCGCCUCCAAAAAUGUAACGGAGGCGUACGAAGGUCACCUCAGCCUGAUUGGAAACCAGGCGGUGAGUGCAUUGGCAUAAGGUGGCUUAACUGCAAGACAAACAAGUCGAACAGAUGCGAAAGCAGGUCAAAGUGAUCCGGUGGUCCCGCGUGGAAGGGCCAUCGCUCAACGGAUAAAAGGUACUCCGGGGAUAACAGGCUGAUUCCGCCCAAGAGUUCACAUCGACGGCGGAGUUUGGCACCUCGAUGUCGGCUCAUCUCAUCCUGGGGCUGGAGCAGGUCCCAAGGGUAUGGCUGUUCGCCAUUUAAAGAGGUACGCGAGCUGGGUUCAGAACGUCGUGAGACAGUUCGGUCCUUAUCUUCUGUGGGCGUAGGAAAAUUGAGUAGAGCUGUCCUUAGUACGAGAGGACCGGGACGGACGAACCUCUGGUGUUCCUGUUGUCGCGCCAGCGGCAUCGCAGGGUAGCUAUGUUCGGAAUGGAUAACCGCUGAAAGCAUCUAAGCGGGAAGCCAACUACAAGAUUAGUUUUCCCUGGGGCUUCGGCCCCCUAAAAAUUCCUUCUAGACUAGGAGGUUGAUAGGUAACAGGUGUAAGCACAGCAAUGUGUUCAGCCAAGUUAUACUAAUAAAUUGUGAGGCUUUGUAA